rnacentral:rRNA from 1 species
UACAUCGGAACGUGUCCUGGAGUGGGGGAUAGCCCGGCGAAAGCCGGAUUAAUACCGCAUACGCCUGUAAGGGGAAAGGCGAAAGUCGCCGAGAGAGGAGCCCGCGGCUGAUUAGCUUGUUGGUGGGGUAAAGGCUCACCAAGGCUGAGAUCGGUAGCCGGCCUGAGAGGGCACACGGCCACACUGGCACUGAAACACGGGCCAGACUCCUACGGGAGGCAGCAGUGGGGAAUCUUGCACAAUGGGGGCAACCCUGAUGCAGCGACGCCGCGUGAGCGAUGAAGCCCUUCGGGGUGUAAA